rnacentral:rRNA from 1 species
CAACAGCUACGUGCGACGUUGUCGCUUCUCCAACCAGCUUCGACUCCGAAAAUUGUAAUUUUAGAACUGCCCUUCUGGGAUCCAUGCAGGAAUUAUCUGAGCAUGGUGAAGAGGAGGGACGUGUUCCGAUGAGUAGAGAGCAGAAGCUGCGAUGGUUCUCGUCAUAAGAUCCUGAGCAUUCACAUUCAGGGCUCUAAAACUACCACACGAGUCGACGACUGUUUUAACUUAACCAUAAGAA